rnacentral:rRNA from 1 species
UACGGGGGGGGCAAGCGUUGAUCGGAAUCAUUGGGCGUAAAGCGCACGUAGGCGGUCUGUUAUGUCGGAUGUGAAAGCCCUUGGCUCAACUGAGGAAGUGCAUCCGAAACUGGCAGGCUAGAGUACUAAAGAGGAUCGCGGAAUUCCCGGUGUAGAGGUGAAAUUCGUAGAUAUCGGGAGGAACACCGGUGGCGAAGGCGGCGAUCUGGGUAGAUACUGACGCUGAGGUGCGAAAGCGUGGGGAGCAAACAGG